GCGCCUAUAGCUCAGUUGGAUUAGAGUACAACCCUCCGAAGGUUGGGGUCACGCGUUCAAGUCGCGUUAGGCGCACCA
rnacentral:tRNA from 1 species